GAAUGAAGUGAUGAUUGAACAUUGUUUCCCUAUUGGUUUGAUCGCCGACAUGAUGGCAUCUUACGUAUUAGCUCUAGCUGAUCAUUC
rnacentral:snoRNA from 4 species